AGCGCGGAAAGCGGAUGGAGCCAGCGAGAAACACAUAGCCAGGGUUCUGUCGCGUGAUCCCCGACGGCACCCGCUCCCCAUCAGCAGCAUCAUACCCGCUGGGAGGAUUCUUAGAGAAGAAAAGUGCUGAUUUAAGAGAAACUACAUUAUUUGUGAAAUACAAAAUUCAUCUUGUGGGUGUAAGAGAUGCCUUUGCGGACGGAUGAAGUUCCUGGUACUAAUUAGCAGGGUCACACCAGCAUGUAGCAUGAUGCCUUGUACACAGUAGGUGCCCAGUAAACACUUUUGGAUCACUGAAUGCAAUGACCAGUGGAUAGAAACAUUGUUCUUCCCCUGACCAGCUUGUUUUCAUUUCCUUUCCAAUUUAAGAAUGUGUUUAACAUUCUAUCCCAGACAAUAUGAUGGUCAUGAAGUCUCUGUCAGAGAGGAAAGGGGGAGUUAAUCUAUAAUGAAGAUCAACAGUGAAGAGGAAAGGGGUCUUCCCUGGAACCCUUCAGUCAUAUACGACAUUUUACACAACAAUAAUGGACCUGUGUAAGGAGGUAUGUGUGGGAGAAGAUUCCAGAAGGUCUUGAGACACUCCAGAUGAAGGUUGGUGUGGGGCUGUGCUGCUGGAGCACCAGAGAGUGAAAAGAGGCAAGUGAUUUAUAGUCUCAUCAAAUAUUGACAAGUUUGGGUUUUCCUUUAGAGUUGGGCAGGGCCUGGCUUGACUUCUUUCUCCACCAGUCUCCAUGAGGCUCAAACAUGUUCUGAUUUUCAGGUUCUGAAAAAGCUCUCAGGGAAAAAGCAGCUUCCAUUCUGUUUUUUUUCCGUUUCUGAAUUCUACUUCCCUUUUAUUUUUGGCCUGGUAAUUUCUGUCUUAUCAGCUUUUAGAUGUCCUUGAGAUUUUUCUUUUCUUUCAUUUUUUUUUUUUUUUUCUUGAGACAGGGUGUAAACCAAAAACUCUUUUAUUCUUUUUUGUUUUCUUUUGAGACAGGAUGUAAACCAAAAAUAAAAUUCUAAUGCCUUCCCCUCCUUGCAACCAUCUGAAUGGACUUCCUCCUGGGCCAGGGCACUCCUAACCUGAAAGACUGGUUCAGGCCAUGAUGGGAAGUGGAGGUCAGACAGGACUCAUUAUACCUCUCUGAUGAGAAGCAUUUACAAUCUAUUUUCUCUGAAGCCUGCUACCCGGAGGCUUCAUCUGCAUGGUAAAACUUUGGUUUCCACAACCUCCUGUCACAACACAGACAUUUUCUUUCUAUUGAUCCCAGAUCUUUAGAUAAACUCAACCAAUUGUCAACCAGUCAAUUUUAAAUCUACCUAUAACCUGGGAGCCCCCAACCUCCGCCCAACAAUUCAAGUUGUCCCACCUUUCUGGACAGAACCAAUCUAUUUCUUAAAUGUAUUUGAUUGACAUCUCAUGUCUCCCUAAAAUGUAUAAAACCAAACUGCACCCCGACCACCUUGGGCAUAUGUUCUCAGGAUCUCCUGAGGGCUGUGUUACAGGCCACGGUCACUCCUAUUUGGCUCAGAAUAAAUCUCUUCAAAUAUUUUACAGAGCUUGGCUCUUUUCAUUUGUUAAUGAUCUCACUCUGUCAUCCAGGUUGGAGUGCAGUGGUGCGAUCAUGGAUUACUGCAGCCUCUACCUCCCUGGGCUCACGUGAUCCUCCCUUCACAGCCUCCCAAGUAGCUGAGACUACACACAUGCACCACCAUGCCUGGUUAAUUUUAAAACUUUUUGUAUAGAUGGAGGUCUUACUGUGUUGCCCAGGCUGGUCUCAAACUUCUGGCCUCAAGUGAUCCUACUGAGAGGUGAUGAUGGCGUGCUGGCAGUCCUCACAGCCCUCGCUCGCUCUCGGCGCCUCCUCUGCCUGGGCUCCCACUUUGGCGGCACUUGAGGACCCCUUCAGCCCACCGCUGCACUGUGGGAGCCCCUUUCUGGGCUGUCCAAGGCCGGAGCCGGCUCCCUCAGCUUGCAGGGAGGUGUGGAGGGAGAGGCGCAAGUGGAAACCGGGGCUACGUGCGGUGCUUGCGGGCCAGGUGGAGUUCCAGGUGGGCGUGGGCUUGGCGGGCCCCACACUGGGAGCAGCCAGCCAGCCCUGCCUGCUGCGGGCCAUGAGGGACUUAGCACCCGGGCCAGCGGCAGCGGAGGAUGUACUGGGUCCCCAAGCAGUGCCAGCCCACCGGCACUGCGCUCGAUUUCUCACCGGGCCUUAGCUGCCUCCCCGCGGGGCGGGGCUCGGGACCUGCAGCCCGCCAGGCCUGAGCCUCCCACCCCCUGCAUGGGCUCCCGUGCGGCCCAAGCCUCCCCGACGAACGCCGCCCCCUGCUCCAGGGCGCCCAGUCCCAUCGACCGCCCAAGGGCUGAGGAGUGUGAGCGCACGGCGCAGGACUGGCGGGCAGCUCCACCUGCAGCCCGGGUGCGGGAUCCACUGGGUGAAGCCAGGUGGGUUCCUGAGUCUGGUAGGGACGUGGAGAGUCUUUAUGUCUAGCUCAGGGAUUGUAAACACACCAAUCGGCACUCUGUAUCUAGCUCAAGGUUUGUAAACACACCAAUCAGCACCCUGUGUCUAGCUCAGGGUUUGUGAGUGCACCAAUCGACACUCUGUAUCUAGCUGUUCUGGUGGGGCCUUGGAGAACCUUUGUGUGGAUACUCUGUAUCUAACUAAUCUGAUGGGGAUGUGGAGAACCUUUGUGUCUAGCUCAGGGAUUGUAAAUGCACCAAUCAGCGCCCUGUCAAAACAGGCCACUCAGCUCUACCAAUCAGCAGGAUGUGGGUGGGGCCAGAUAAGAGAAUAAAAGCAGGCUGCCCGACCCAGCAUUGGCAACCCGCUCGGGUCCCCUUCCACACUGUGGAAGCUAUGUUCUUUCGCUCUUUGCAAUAAAUCUUCCUACUGCUCACUUUUUGGGUCUACACUGCUUUUAUGAGCUGUAACACUCACUGCGAAGGUCUGCAGCUUCACUCCUGAAGCCAACGAGACCACGAGCCCACCGGGAGGAACGAACAACUCCAGAUGCGCCACCUUAAGAGCUGUACCACUCACUAUGAAGGACUGCAGCUUCACUCCUGAGCCAGCGAGACUACGAACCCACCAGAAGGAAGAAACUCCGAACACAUCCGAACAUCAGAAGGAACAAACUCCAGACGCGCCACCGUAAGAGCUGUAACACUCACCGCAAGGGUCCGCGGCUUCAUUCUUGAAGUCAGUGAGACCAAGAACCCACCAAUUCCGGACACACUACCACCUCAGCCUCCCAAAUUGGUGGGAUUACAGGGAGAAGAUUUUUAUUUUAUUUUUAUAGAGAUGGGGUCUCAGUAUGAUGCCGUGGCUGGUAUUGAACUCCUGGGUUCAAGCGAUACCCCUGCCUUAGCUUCUCAAAGUGCUGGGAUUACAGGUGUGAGCCACCAUGCCCAUCCUGGGAGAAGACUUUUAAAACAUACUUUGUUUAGGCCAGGCAUGGUGUUGAGGUCAGGAGUUCAAGACCAUGCUGGCCAACAUGGCGAAACUGUGUCUCUACUAGAAAAUAUAAAAAACUUAGCCAGGCAUGGUGGCAAGUACCUGUAGUCCCAGCUACUUGGGAGGCUGAGGAAGGAGAAUUGCUUGAAUCCAGGAGGUGGAGGUUGCGGUGAGUCAAGAUCACGCCACUGCACUGCAGCCUGGGUGACAGAGCGAGACUCUGUCUCAAAAAAACAAAAGCAAAUCAUGUUUCGUUGAGUUUAUUUAGCUGUGUAUUCACAAGUUGAUUGGCAUAUCUCAGCCCGUACCAACUCCACCCCGGAAUGCUCUUCCCAGGCUUCCUAACAGGUAUUCUCCUUUACCUGGAUUGCAUUUGUAGAAAACACUCUGCUUCAGUGGGAGGCAAGGAACAGAAUCUUUCUCUGUCUAGGGCAUACUCUUCCAGGUUAUCUGAUUCCAAUUCUAUGGGACCUAUUUUACCAUUCUGAAAGCUACAGAUAACCAAUAGCAAUGAAAAAUAAUUCUUGUCUAUGGAUAUGCAAAUGCUUAUGUUCUAUAGAGAGACAACCCUUCCUCACUUCCCCCCAAAUCCCCCAGUUUGCUUCCAUUUUACACAUUCAUUUCAAUAUUGCUCUUCUCUUCCUUCUUUUCUUUUUUUUUUAGGGUAUCUCCCUCUGUGCUAGGCCAGAGUGCAGUGGUGCAAUCAUGGCUCACUGUAGUCUCAACCUCCUGGGUUCAAGAGAUCCUCCCACUUCAGCCUCCCAAGUAGCUAGGACUACAGGCACAUGUCAUCAUAUCUGGCUAAUUAAAAAAAAAAAAGAUUAUAGAGAUGGGCUCUCCCCCUAUGUUUCCCAGGUUGGUCUCAAACUCCUGGGCUCAAGUGAUCCUCCCAUCUUGGCCUCCCAACUUGCUGGGAUUACAGGCAUUUGCCACUGUGUCCAGCCCAUUUCAAUAUUUCUGAUCAAUAAAUGUGCCUGUCCUUCAGAUUCUCCUUUGAAUUAGCUGUCACACCUCUUCAGUUUCUUCACUGAGGAGUUAAAUAUAAUCUUUAGCACAUGAUAUUGUUUAGCUCUGUGUCCCCACCAAAUCUCAUCUUGAAUCGUAAUCCCCCUGUGUGUCAAGGGAUGGACCUGGUAGGGGAUAAUUGGAUCAUGGGGGCGGUUUUCCCCAUGGUGUUCCCGUAUAGCAAAUGAGUUCUCACGAGAUCUGAUGGUUUAAAAGUGGUUGGCAGUUCCCCCUUCUCUCUCUCUCUCUCUCUCUGGCCACUUUGUGAAAAAGGUGCUCGCUUUUCCUUCGCUUUCUGCCGUGAUUGUAAGUUUCCUGAGGUCUCUCCAGCCAUGUGGAACUGUGAGUUAAUUAAACCUCUUUCCUUUAUAAAUUACCCAGUUUCAGGUAGUUCUUUAUAGCAGUGUGCAAAUGGACUGUUACAGCACAUAUUCAUUUUUAUAUCUAUAUUGAGUUAUCAUUUAACCUGUUUUUGAAAAUUAUCUUUUAAUAUGCGUUUUUCUCUUUCUUAUUAUCUUCUUUUGCUAAAGCCUGUUCUCCAGUAGCUUCCUAAGAAAGGGUGCACAGGAGACCCAUUUUUUGAGCCCCUCCUUAUCUGACAAUGUUUUUGUUUGACCCUUACCUUUGAUUAAUAAUGCGACUGGAUGUUGAACUUGUGAAAGGAAAAUAAAAACUCGGGACCCCAAUUCAGUACGCCAAAAGGAAAAAAAAAAAAAAAGAAGCUGAAAGCUGAGUCAUGCAAGAAACUGCCUUUUCUUUUGCUCCUAAGUAGAUGGCUACAGAUAAAAGGUUAAAUAUCUCCACGGGUAGCUACUCCAUGUUCACCUUAUCUUAUGUAAAGCGCCGAUUUACUGAGCAGGAGACAGAUAUGUAACUGACUAUUCCCUAGCUGCUCUUCUCCCCUUGCAACAUGUGAAUUACCAUACCCUUCCUCUAUC